AAGUGGGAUGACGUCAAAUCAUCAUGCCCCUUAUGUUCUGGGCUACACACGUGCUACAAUGGCCGGUACAGACGGACGCAAAGCCGCGAGGUGGAGCAAAUCCUAAAAAGACCGGUCUCAGUUCGGAUUGCAGGCUGCAAUUCGCCUGCAUGAAGUCGGAAGUCGCUAGUAAUCGCAGGUCAGCAUACUGCGGUGAAUACGUUCCCGGGUCUU
rnacentral:rRNA from 1 species